rnacentral:rRNA from 1 species
UACGAAGGGUGCAAGCGUUACUCGGAAUUACUGGGCGUAAAGGGCUCGUAGGCGGCCAACUAAGUCAGACGUGAAAUCCCUCGGCUUAACCGGGGAACUGCGUCUGAUACUGGAUGGCUUGAGGUUGGGAGAGGGAUGCGGAAUUCCAGGUGUAGCGGUGAAAUGCGUAGAUAUCUGGAGGAACACCGGUGGCGAAGGCGGCAUCCUGGACCAAUUCUGACGCUGAGGAGCGAAAGCCAGGGGAGCAAACGGG